CCUUGGAUGAAUUAGCAAGCAAGAAGAGUCAGUCUGAGGCUCCUCACUGUGACGGACUGAGGAGCUUUAUUUACUCCCUGCGGAUAGUGGCCUGCCACCAGAGAGGCCACAGGCCGGAGUGAUGGAGCUGACUCAUAGGGUAAGGAGAAAGUGGCCUGGAUCGUUGACAGAGGGUGUGGUCUUUUUGUUUGGUAAUUUUAAACUACAUUCUUGAAAAAGUUUCUCAAGAUUCAAGCAAUUCCUAGGACUGUAUGUACACUUGGGGAACAUUUCUUAAAAUACAUAACGAAUUCAAAUUAAUAAGAAAAAGACAACCCAGAAGAAAAAUGGACACGUGAAUUAAUCAGAAACUCAAGAGCACGUGAGGACACAAGAAGAAGGCAUCUGUUUACACACCAGGAGGAGAGACCUCACAAGAACCCAAUCAUGAUGGCACUUUGAUCUUAGACCGCCAGCCUCCAGAACAGUGAGAAAAUAAAUUUCUGUUGUUUAUGCUGUCCUGUUUAAUGGUAUUCUGUUACGGCAACCUGAGCUGACUGAGACAUUAACGGUUCCAGUUUUCCUGGAAUUGAGUGGGGAUCCUGGGAUGUGAAACUUCCAGUUUUCUAACCUAGAAAGUGCUGGGGGCACCAGGGCAAGUUGGACUGUAGUUCUCUACCCCUGCUGCUCUGUCUCAAAGAGCCAGGGUCUGCCCAGGAACAAGAAGAGGAGGCAAAGAUGCCUCAGCCAGGCCUAGAGGUGAAAGCACAAAGCCCGAGGGGCUGCCAGGCCGUUAGACUUCUAGGUUCAGAGGUGCUAAGGAGUGCGUGGGACAAAAGGCUCACGGUGAUUAAGGUGAACAAUAUUGUUAACAGUGCAAAAAUA
rnacentral:lncRNA from 10 species